GUUAAAGUGGCAGAAUAAUGCGAGGAAUUUAAGCUUCCUUUAUGAAGGUUCCUUUAAUA
rnacentral:tRNA from 1 species